rnacentral:lncRNA from 1 species
CGGGAGGUUCUUCUUUGUGAUCUUGGGUACAAAUUUUGUAUUUCAGUUCUUCAAUUCCAAUUAAAAUUCUGUUCUAUUAUCUUUUCUUUGAAAAAUUUUUAUGCUUCUUGCUUUUUAAAUUUUGAAUUGUGCAAAAUUUAUAUUUCUUGCAAUUUAGAUUUUCGUUCUUCUAAGAUAUGUGAUACCUUGUAAAUUAGGUGAUGUUAUCCCUUGCAAACUUCUACUUUGAUUUCAUUUGAUGANUGCAAUGGUAGUAUAGGCAAUCUUUUCUUUUUGUCAUAGAAAUUAGGUUNUUAAGUUACAAUUAUAUUUCCUUUCUUUACGAUUUGCUUUGAUAUUGAAUGAUCUGGAGUAGCAUUUUAAGAAAAGGAGGCACUUNCUGCCAUUGAGUUUGCAAUAAAGGUAAAUACCUUCACUGUAGUUACAAUCCGUACCUUCUUUACUUGGAUUAAUUUUAUUGAGAAUAUGAUUAAAUUGUACAAUAUAUACCAAUAACUUUACAUUUCUGAUAGUGUUGCUUUAAAUUUUCAGGUUAUUUGCUGCUUGGUAUUAGUUGGAAAAAGGACUAUAUUUCAAAGUGUUCUAAGUUUUGUGAACGGUAACAAAAUCAACGGUAACGAAAUCAAGAUAUCAAGAGUAACUGCAUUGAUUAUGAUCUUGGUUUGUAUCCUUUUCUAUUCACUAUAGUUGUAGUUUGGCAUCCUUUCCCAGUUUUUAUAUAUAUUUCUCACAAAAAAAUGUGUUGUUGUAGGUAGCGGGAGGAUUAUGUGACAAUAUCGUGAGAGCAUGGGACUACAGGAAUCCACUUUUUACUUGAUGGGAUGUGUACCUCCUUGUAUUGUCUCUUAAUUUUCUGGAGAUAGAUGUGGUCUCCCACAUUUCAGAUUCUUUAAGUGGGCUUUGAUUUGGUCAAGUGAAUCAUGGAUCUGUUGGAGGCUAAGGUGAAGAACUGGAAAUGAAUGGUAAAUGUGGUUGGGAUGGUCACGAUGAGAGGAGCUGAGAAUAAAAUAAAAACACUUUAAAAACAUAUUAUAUUAAAUGUAUUAUUUUUAAAUCAAAAUUCCACGUAAUGGAAUUAUUUAAAUUAAAAACUAAAUGUCCAUUACAGAUCAGCAUGGUGCAAACGGUGUUACUGACCCUUUAACGGAAAGGGCUUAAUUGUCCCAAAUUUACAAAUAUUAGGNNN